CUGUAACUUCAUAUAAAAAGGGCUGUAACAGAAAUUCAAAAUAGGAAAUGAAAUAAAAUGAAAAUAUUCAGACUCCCUCCAAAUAAGAUUUCUCCUUCUCCUUCUCCGAUCUGAAACCCUCCUCAGAUUUGAACUCUCUCUCUAAUCUGAACACUCUCUUCUCUGUAAUUCACCUCUUCAUCUCAAUCCAACUCCAGAAUUCACAUAAACACCACACCGAAUUCCUCUCGGGAAGUCGGGAUGUUACGUAGAGUUAUAAACUGAGAACAACAAUUUACAAAUGUCAAUCUUAAUAUGCUGCCUUCAUCACCUGAACUCUCCAAUGUAUCAAAGUGCUUCUUUUCUUUCUAUCUUCUUUCCCUUUGCCCAAACCAAUGCUCUAUAUUGUUGAUUAUAUUACCAUCAGUGUAACUGGAGGCAUCUCUAGAACAACUUCUGAUAUAACAUUCAAACAUUGUUCGGAAGCUUUAAGAUGUUCAAUUUGGAUGUUACG
rnacentral:lncRNA from 1 species